AGCACUUUUUGACUUACUGAAUGACGAGGACCACCUUCUGAAAAAGAGGAAAUUUAGAAAAUCACGGUCAAGAAGGAGAAGAAGGCGGACCUCCAGGAAACCAUCAGCAUGGUCAAGACGGAGAAGACGGCGGACCUCCAGGAAACCAUCAGCAUGGUCAAGAUGGAGAAGAAGGCGGACCUCCAGGAAACCAUCAG